rnacentral:rRNA from 1 species
AGCGAACGCUGGCGGCAGGCCUAACACAUGCAAGUCGAACGAACCCUUCGGGGUUAGUGGCGGACGGGUGAGUAACACGUGGGAACGUGCCUUUAGGUUCGGAAUAACUCAGGGAAACUUGUGCUAAUACCGAAUGUGCCCUUCGGGGGAAAGACUUAUCGCCUUUAGAGCGGCCCGCGUCUGAUUAGCUAGUUGGUGAGGUAAUGGCUCACCAAGGCUAUGAUCAGUAGCUGGUCUGAGAGGAUGACCAGCCACAUUGGGACUGAGACACGGCCCGAACUCCUACGGGAGGCAGCAGUGGGGAAUCUUGCGCAAUGGGCGAAAGCCUGACGCAGCCAUGCCGCGUGGAUGAUGAAGGUCUUAGGAUUGUAAAAUCCUUUCACCGGUGAAGAUAAUGACUGUAGCCGGAGAAGAAGCCCCGGCUAACCUCGUGCCAGCCGCCGCUGUAAGAC